rnacentral:rRNA from 1 species
UUUGAUCCUGGCUCAGGAUGAACGCUAGCGACAGGCCUAACACAUGCAAGUCGAGGGGCAGCGGGGAGGUAGCAAUACUUCUGCCGGCGACCGGCGCACGGGUGCGUAACAGGUGUGCAAUCUUCCCGUAAUCAGGGCAUAGCCCGGCGAAAGUUGGAUUAACUCCCUAUGUGUGUAUUUCCCGCAUGAGAGAUACAUGAAACGUUUAUGGAUUACGGAUGAGCGCGCUUCUGAUUAGCUGGUUGGCGGGGUAGCGGCCCACCAAGGCGACGAUCAGUAGGGGUUCUGAGAGGAAGGUCCCCCACAUUGGAACUGAGACACGGUCCAAACUCCUACGGGAGGCAGCAGUGAGGAAUAUUGGUCAAUGGGCGAGAGCCUGAACCAGCCAAGUCGCGUGAAGGAUGAAGGUUCUAUGGAUUGUAAACUUCUUUUGUCCGAGGGUAAAGUGCGGUACGUGUACCGUAUUGCAAGUAUCGGACGAAUAAGCAUCGGCUAACUCCGUGCCAGCAGCCGCGGCAAUACGGAGGAUGCGAGCGUUAUCCGGAUUUAUUGGGUUUAAAGGGUGCGUAGGCGGGUGAUUAAGUCAGUGGUGAAAUCGUGUGGCUCAACCAUACAGUUGCCGUUGAUACUGGUUGUCUUGAGUACAGUUGAGGCAGGCGGAAUGUGAUGUGUAGCGGUGAAAUGCUUAGAUAUGUCACAGAACCCCGAUUGCGAAGGCAGCUUGCCAAGCUGUAACUGACGCUGAGGCACGAAAGCGUGGGUAUCAAACAGGACUAGAUACCCUGGUAGUCCACGCAGUAAACGAUGAAUACUAUCUGUUGGCGAUAUAUUGUCAGCGGUACAGCGAAAGUGUUAAGUAUUCCACCUGGGGAGUACGCCGGCAACGGUGCAACUCAAAUGAAUUGACGGA